ensembl:lncRNA
GUCAGUCAUUAAAUCAUGCCUUUUUUCAACACCACGUCUCCAGUGCCUCCUGCCUUGGCAGGCAGAUUGUUUACUGCUGUGCCACCAGGGAAGCCCAAAGGGAAUAUUAUUCAGCGUUAAAAUAAAAACAAAACAAAAACUGUCAAACCGAGAAAUGGAACGGAGUUAACGUCAAUGUCUAUUACUAAGUAAAAGAAGCCUAUCUGAAAAGAUUACGUACUGUACGACUCCAAUUAGGUGACAUUCUGGAAAAGGCAGAACUAUGCAGAUUGCCAGGCCCUAUGCAGCAGCAGUGAAUUUGGAUUGUCUAUAAAGUCAUCGUCUUUAUCAAGCACCCAGGGUGAUUUUAAUGCUGGGUGACACGUUGAGAGCAACAAAGCUACAGAGAAAAAGGACAGUAAGGAGGUUCAGCUGAAGAACUACGCAGACCUUCCAGACUUCCGUGUUGUCCACCUCCAAUUCUUCUCCCAUCCAAUCAGGCCCGCGUGGUAUAAAGCACCCGUCUACAUCAGAAGCUCUGACCUCCAUCUGACGGGACAUAACAUCACGCUCCUCCCAGACCUGGAAACUGUGAGGCUUAUUGCUUCAAAAUACAGUCAUCCAUCCAAACAGAGAUACCCCAGUUUGGGCGUAGUCUGUCAGCUGUAAUUUCUACUACUUUCCUAACUUACAUUUCCUCCAGUCCAUGGAGAUAUGUGACUUAAUUCUGAGUUACAUACUUAAAAUGUGGUGGUUAUAAUUGUUCUCAGAUGAAUAAAAAAAUAUUUUUUAAGUUCAUAUAAAAAUAAACU